GCAGGGAUAGCGAAGCGGUUAAACGCGCUGGACUCAAGAUCCAGUCACUUAGUGUGUUCGGAGGUUCGAAUCCUCCUCCCUGCA
rnacentral:tRNA from 1 species